UAGGGAAUCUUCCGCAAUGGACGCAAGUCUGACGGAGCAACGCCGCGUGAGUGAAGAAGGAUUUCGGUUCGUAAAACUCUGUUGUUAGAGAAGAACAGCGCAUAGAGUAACUGUUAUGCGUGUGACGGUAUCUAAUCAGAAAGCCACGGCUAACUACGUGCCAGCAGCCGCGGUAAUACGUAGGUGGCAAGCGUUGUCCGGAUUUAUCGGGCGUAAAGCGAGCGCAGGCGGUCAAUUAAGUCUGAAGAGAAAGCCCCCGGCUCAACCGGGGAGGGUCAUUGGAAACUGGUUGACUUGAGUGCAGAAGAGGAGAGUGGAAUUCCAUGUGUAGCGGUAAAAUGCGUAGAUAUAUGGAGGAACACCAGUGGCGAAGGCGACUCUCUGGUCUGUAACUGACGCUGAGGCUCGAAAGCGUGGGUAGCAAACAGG
rnacentral:rRNA from 1 species